UACGGGGGGAGCAAGCGUUGUUCGGAUUUACUGGGCGUAAAGGGCGCGUAGGCGGCCACGCAAGUCAGACUGUGAAUAUCCGGCGUUAACCCGGAAAGGUCAGCCCGAUACUGCGGGGCUAGAGUGGCAGAAAGGGGCAACUGGAAUUCUCGGUGUAGCGGUGAAAUGCGUAGAUAAUCGAGAGGAACACCUGCGGCGAAGGCGGGUUGCUGGGCUGAUACUGACGCUGAGGCACGAAAGCUAGGGGAGCGAACGGG
rnacentral:rRNA from 1 species